GUGUGUGAAUGGUGUUCAGCACCAAGGACAGGUGUGCUUACCUGUGUGUAAAUGGUGUUCAGGGACAGAUGUGUUUACCU
rnacentral:pre_miRNA from 1 species